AUGGGCGAGAAAGUGCACUGGCUGUCGCAGAAACACAUUGAUGUGUACACAAAGGAUUUGAUAAAACAGUUCAGGGAGAAUAGUGUGAACCUUGGGAAGGUAUACAACAUAAUUGGCAGUUUCUUUGGGUCAGUCGAGAAAGUGCCAUUCACAAAACGGACUCUAAGGAACAUUUGCGGUAAGAUACGUCAUGAGCAGGCAGAGGACGAUGUUAGGAAAAACUUUGGAGGUGUUUGCUGA
rnacentral:rRNA from 1 species